UACGGGGGGGGGCAAGCGUUGUUCGGAAUUACUGGGCGUAAAGGGCGCGUAGGCGGCCUGCUAAGUCGGAUGUGAAAUCCCUCGGCUCAACCGAGGAACUGCAUCCGAUACUGGCGGGCUUGAAUCCGGGAGAGGGAUGUGGAAUUCCAGGUGUAGCGGUGAAAUUCGUAGAUAUUCGGAAGAACACCGGUGGCGAAGGCGGCCUGCUGGGCAGUAGCUGACGCUGAUGCGCGACAGCGUGGGGAGCAAACAGG
rnacentral:rRNA from 1 species